rnacentral:rRNA from 1 species
CCUACGGGAGGCAGCAGUGGGGAAUAUUGGACAAUGGGGGAAACUCUGAUGCAGCGACGCCGCGUGAGGGAAGAAGUAUUUCGGUAUUUAAAGCUCUAUCAGCAGGGAAGAAGAAAGACGGUACCUGACUAAGAAGCCCCGGCGAACUACGUGCCAGCAGCCGCGGUAAUACGGAGGGGGCAAGCGUUAACCGGAUUUACUGGGUGUAAAGGGAGCGUAGACGGCUGUGCAAGUCUGAAGUGAAAGCCCAGGGCUCAACCCUGGGACUGCUUGGGAAACUGGGGAGCUAGAGUGCUGGAGAGGUAAGUGGAAUUCCUGGUGUAGCGGUGAAAUGCGUAGAUAUUAGGAGGAACACCAGUGGCGAAGGCGGCUUACUGGACAGUAACUGACGUUGAGGCUCGAAAGCGUGGGGAGCAAACAGGAUUAGAUACCCCUGUAGUC